AUUGACAGAUAUACGUCGUGCGUUGAGCUCUCUCGGGGGCCGAGCGCAUGACUGAAAGAUGCUAGUUCUUUCAUGAUUAUGUGAUAGGUGGUGCAUGGCCGUUCUUAGUUCGUGGAGUGAUCUGUCUGCUUAAUUGCGUAUCAUAAAAAGAGACCUAGUAUACGCGUAAGAUAUCGUUUACGGUUCGUGACCCCCUUCGGGCGUGUGUCGCACGUACGUAUCAUACGCACUGGUCUCCGAUAGCAACGAACGUGACCGUACUCUAUUGUUGCAGCGAAUGUAUGCAUCUUCGGGUGUAUCUACCGCUGCUUAGUGCGUAUGCGUACUUCGGUGCGUGUCGUACAUUAAACUAUAGAGACCGCUGUAUUCUUUUUAAACCAGAGGAAGGAUACGGCAAUAACAGGUCUGUGAUG
rnacentral:rRNA from 1 species